UGGGAUCAAAACCAAGGCACAGUAAAUUCCUCAUGGCAUCUUUGGGAUUACUCAGGAACCAGAACUUUUCACACAAAUGUAAGCAAUUCUGCCAAGGAAUCCCUUUACCUAACAGCAUCUCGCAAGGCUCCAGUCAGAUUCCAGAAAAGGCCUCUUAAUAACUUCAAGAUAAAAGCUA
rnacentral:lncRNA from 1 species